rnacentral:rRNA from 1 species
GUACCAACGACCGUAAAACGAAUAGUACGAACUUAGGAGGUUGUGCCCUUGAGGCGUGGCUUCCGGAGCUAACGCGUUAAGUCGACCGCCUGGGGGAGUACGGCCGCAAGGUUAAAACUCAAAUGAAUGACGGGGGCCCGCACAAGCGGUGGAGCAUGUGGUUUAAAUUCGAUGCAAACGCGAAGAACCUUACCUGGUCUUGACAUCCACAGAACWUUUCCAGAGAUGGAUUGGUGCCUUCGGGAACUGUGAGACAGGUGCUGCAUGGCUGUCGUCAGCUCGUGUUGUGAAAUGUUGGGUUAAGUCCCGCAACGAGCGCAACCCUUGWUCACUGUUGCCAGCACGUUAUGGUGGGGACUCAGUGGAGACCGCCGGGGUCAACUCGGAGGAAGGUGGGGAUGACGUCAAGUCAUCAUGCCCCUUAUGUCCAGGGCUUCACGCAUGCUACAAUGGC